GUGAAUCAUCGAAUUUUUGAACGCAAAUUGCACUCUCUGGUAUUCCGGAGAGUAUGCCUGUUUGAGGGUCAGUUAAAAUAAAAACCGGUUUGUUGGCGGCCUUUCGUGGUGCCGUAAGGGAUUUGAGUCGUCUUGCCUUGGGUUAAGUUGCCUAAAAUUUUGCAAUAAUUUGUCGAACGU
rnacentral:misc_RNA from 1 species